UGAAUACGAGAUGCUACGGCGUCGAAGCAGUGUAUGUCAGACUUCCAAGAAAAGCUCGCAAUGUCAUAAAUAAAGAAUGCCUGUACCAUAACCGACACAGGUGGGUAGGUAGAGUAUACUAAGGGGCGCGAGAUAACUCUCUCUAAGGAACUCGGCAAAAUAACUCCGUAACUUCGGGAGAAGGAGUGCCUUCUUUAAGAAGGUUGCAAUAACAAGAUCCAAGCAACUGUUUAUCAAAACACAGGUCUCCGCUAAGUCGUAAGACGAUGUAUGGGGGCUGACGCCUGCCCAGUGCCAGAAGGUUAAAGAAGUUGGUUAGCUUUUGCGAAGCUGAUGACUGAAGCCCUGGUGAACGGCGGCCGUAACUAUAACGGUCCUAAGGUAGCGAAAUUCCUUGUCGGGUAAGUUCCGACCCGCACGAAAGGCGUAAUGAUUUGGAUACUGUCUCGGAGAGGGACUCGGUGAAAUAGGCUUGUCUAUGAAGAUGCGGACUACCUGCACCAGGACAGAAAGACCCUAUGAAGCUUUACUGUAACUUGAAAUUGAAAUUGGACUUUAUUUGCGCAGUAUAGGUGGAAGGCGUUGAAAGUAAUCUUGCGGGAUUAGUGGAGCCAUCAGUGAGAUACCACUCCUAUAAUGUUAGAUUUCUAACUUUGGAUCAUGAUCUGGUCAAAGAACAGUUUCAGGCGGGCAGUUUGACUGGGGCGGUCGCCUCCCAAAUGGUAACGGAGGCGUACAAAGGUUUCCUCUGAACGGGUAGAAAUCGUAUCUAGAGUGUAAAGGCAUAAGGAAGCUUGACUGUGAGACCUACAAGUCGAGCAGGGACGAAAGUCGGUCUUAGUGAUCUGACGGUGCUGAGUGGAAAGGCCGUCACUCAACGGAUAAAAGUUACUCUAAGGAUAACAGGCUGAUCUCCCCCAAGAGUUCACAUCGACGGGGAGGUUUGGCACCUCGAUGUCGGCUCAUCGCAUCCUGGGGCGGUAGUACGUCCCAAGGGUUGGGCUGUUCGCCCAUGAAAGCGGUACGCGAGCUGGGUUCAGAACGUCGUGAGACAGCUCGGUCCAUAUCCGGUGUAGGCGUUAGAAUAUUGAGAGGAGCCUUCUUUAGUACGAGAGGACCGAGAAGGACAUACCUCUGGUGUACCAGUUAUCGUGCCAACGGUAAACGCUGGGUAGCUAUGUAUGGAGAGGAUAACCGCUGAAAGCAUCUAAGUGGGAAGCCCACCUCAAGAUGAGUAUUCUCAC
rnacentral:rRNA from 1 species